ensembl:lncRNA
CUUUCUGCUGAAGCAGAAAAAAAAAUCUGUUGAAGAGAACCACAGUAAAAGUACACCAUAAAAUGCAAAGUUCCUCAUUCCCUGUGUGUGCUGGCUGGUGAUGUGGAAGUGGAAUUAAAACUCGAGCUGUAUUCUAAGUGAUGUGAAUGAAAUACAACCUUGGCAUGGAAAACUAGACCUGUGUGUGUGCGAGAGAGGCAGACGGACACGGUGCACGCGACCUGUCCUGCCCUGGUGUUCGUGGCUCGGUGCACAUGAGGUUUGGCUCAAUAUCUCCAGCUCUGCUGCCACACUCGACACGUGCUUUAUGAGCCUCAGCUCAGGGAUCCGCACCACAAUCCCGCUGUGUCACAGUCUAUGUGCUUUCAUGGCCAGCACACAGGCCUUGUCAGGUCAUCACGGCCAUGAGUUAUAGCACACUGCUGCUGGCAGGAAAGACUAUCUUCUCAGUUAUCUGUAAAAGCAAUGAGCUGCUCUGAUACUCCUUCCAGCUCACUGUGGAUCUGAUGUCCUUGACAGAAAAAUCACAUGAACUUUACAUGUGAUAUUUACAUAUGUAAUUUAU